UGUGUGUGUGUGUGUGUGUGUGUGUGAAUGCAUGCAUGAACGUGUAUGUGCACACACACACACACGCACAC
rnacentral:miRNA from 1 species